ensembl:lncRNA
GCUGGAAAGCUCUUCAGAGUCUCAAAAGUCUCAAAAGUCAGAUUUUGUAGGUUUUGGGUGAGAGCAGGCGAGCCAGGUUUGUAUUUUCACAUUUUCAGCUGCUGGGACAGAGGGAUGAGCUGGGAGCUGGCCACUUGGUGGGGAUGUUGGCACGGAGAGUGGCCCUGGAUCCCUGGAUUCAUGUUCCAUUCCUGCCACAGCUCUGCUGAGGAAGCCAAAGGAAAACCUGCUGAAUCUUCAGCUUCAGGAUAACAGCUUUUCAGCUUCCAUAAAUCCUGGGACUAGCCAGCACCAGUCCCACAUGGUGCAAAAUGAGAUGGAGCCUCACUGUUCCUGGGGCUGAAGAAGCAGAACAUGAGGGAGGUGCAGCCUCAGAUGUACCUGAGCACAGCAGCAGCCUCUUCCAGAAGUUCAUUACACCUGAACUCGUGCCUUUUGGGCAGCCAGGGGACAGGCAUGAGAUGAUGACGACGCCUGGGUGUGAAGUCUGCUCCGAGGCCUUCAGUGCAAGUCCUUGGCACACCUCUUCAGACUCAGCCUUCCCCUCCCAUCCUGAAAGUUUCCAAAGUGAUGGGAGAGAAGCCGUGGUUGUGUUUCCCGGGCUGACACCUCCUGCUGAGCAUCCUUCCCUGCAGGAAUGGCAGUCCUGUCGCGUUACCCUGGGCGCGCGCCGCCGUGCCGCUGAUGGGACCAGACAGGAUCCGUCACUGUGCUGAUGUGUCUCCUCCACAAAAAAUCCCGAAUGACACCAGCAUCCGAGAGACGGGGAACAAAGGGGAAAACAAAUAAAAUUAUCUGCUCUGUUUGGUCCCCUCUGGUC